CGGAAAUCGCUGUCGGCACACUGGAGAGGUUGAGAACCCACUCAGUCUGUGAAGCUGAUGUUUCAUCAGAAUCAGUCUGAGGCUGAAGGUCUGUGGGCUGCCUGGAGAGCUGCUUGUCCACACUGGAAGGUGGCUGAGAAGCUGGGCUUUGGUGGUAGCCUAGCAACGGAUAGACACAAAGAAGUCAGACAAGAAGCUGAGGAACGAGGUGUUAGACUUACUGCUGAGCUAAUGGAAAAAGUAAGAAGAAUAAAAGGAUCCAGGCAAGAGAGAAGGAGGGCAUCACAGAGUGGUUAAAAGGCGGUACAAAUAGCAAUCGGGAAGCCUAGAAGACCCGUAGGCGAGACAGAAUCGUGGAGGAAGCAGAGGGCACGUAUCAGCAUCCACGGAGUUAUGGGAGACUUGUAGCUGAAGGCCUACCAAGAUAAGUAGAGCAUUUGUGUCUCUGGGUUUCUGAGUUAAUGAUGCCAGCAGUCUCUGAACUAGCCAAAUUGUGGUGGAUUUAUUAUUUACAUUACAACUCCAUUUAAAAAUGAAAACAUAUGCCCACAUGUUCAGUGCUUCACAAAUACACGCUGUAGAAUUUUAUAUCCAGUAACAGAUGCAAUUUCCCUAUCAAAUAUAAUUUCUGUUUGUCUUCUGAACUCUGUAUUGUUGUGGAAAUUCCAGUUUAUCAGCUGCACUGGAGCCGAAUGAAGUGAGUAGUCCAAGACAUGAGCAGAUUUCUGCUGUGCACCUAGUAUUCCUUUCCCUUCCUAUUUAAUGCUAAUAUUGCUUUAUGCUAAAGAUGCAUUUUUUAAUGCUAUACAACUUGAUUCGUGGGGAAAAAGCAACACAAAUAAUUAAAGUUCUCUUUUGGGAACGUGAGUGGGCAGAGAGAAGUCAAGCGAGGGAAUCUUUUUGGUGGAACUUGUUUCACUUUCUUCUCCAGCCUGGUUGACAUUAUAGUGCUGAGAACAAUUGGGAGUUACUGAAGGCCCAGUUUAUCUUGCCGAUUUCUGUAGACUAUGUGUGACUUUGUUCCAAGUGACCCGUAAGAGCAAUGGCACCUGACGGAGCAACUGUGUAAAGCUGGGAGCAAGCCCAUUUUCAGGAGCAAUUUAGAGACUUCUUUUGACAUUUUCCCCCUUUUCUUUUUAAAAUUUAUUGCAGUCUGACAACAGCAAGUACCCAAAUCCUGUUAGGAAAUAAUGCAAUUUCUGAGCUUGGGUUCUGCUCUAACAAAGUUACAGGGUAGAUGUCACCAGCGUGGAGGGGAAGUUAAUCGUGGCAGGCUUGGAAAAAGAUUCAGUGCUGAAGUCUGGUUGUUCCCAUUUUCUCUUAAAGUGGUCUGCAAGUCUCCUCUCCCUUUUCUCAUUUUAAUUUGUUGUCUCAGGUUUGCUAGGCUGUGGAUUCUGGACAAGAGAACAGGAUCUGCUAGAAAAGCAAGGGAAAUACGUUGGUAGUUGGGCAUUUUCCUUAGGCAUGCAUUGCAAGGCUAAAGUCUACCUUAAAGAAUGUGGCCUUCUUCUGUAGACAAGCACUCUUGUAGUUCCUCAGUCCCAGACUGCAGUGGGCUGGCCCACCCAGAAAAGCCUGCCCCUGGGUAGACUGACAGGAGAGAGGAAGACGCUGAGUCGACAGCUCCUUUGACUUCCCUGAGGAACUUUCAGUGACUUGCCCAGCAGUCAGAUGGAGGUGCUUGGGGCAGUGCUGAUGCUCAGGCAAACGCUCCUACAGCAGAGUGAGCGCACAGGUCCUCCUGUGCCUGGAUCCUUGGUCCAAGUCUCCUCACGCGGCUCAACUUUACGUCUGUGUCAGAAGAACGUCAAGACCAAUUGCCACUUCUUUUUUUUCUCAGAGUCCUCACCCAACAUAAGCACUGCUUGUGUGGCUCCUUCUGAUCCCCGCAGAACUGCAUGAGAAUGGGAGCCAGGGAUGCAAGGGCUGUGUGCAGGCUGGCGGAGAGUCACCUCUGUCUCUUUGACUAUUGGCCUUGGGUAUGAGAGGCUCGGUUUCCUCACUUGGAGAAUAAGGCCAUAAUUUUGGAACAGGAAGGAAGGGACCGGGAUGGCUGAGAAGACUUGCUUUAGGGCAAAUAGCCCAAAUCUCAGUUCAAACAAGAUAAGGGCUGCAGAGAUAGAAUCCGAAGAUAAAGGUGUUUUCCCCUGGACUGCUGUUAAUGCCUUAAAUGUGUGGGAGAUUUCCCUGGGCUUUUAUUCCCCCAAGGUCCUUGCAAGACAAAGUCUCUUAGUUACAGGGAAAACCUUCGACUAUAGACAGCCCUUGGUCCCCAAAUUCUCAGGAGUCAAACGUUUUCAAGCACAGAAUUCUUGGGCAAACACAUCCUGUGCCUCCCGAGUGGAAGUGAUGCUCAGUGCUAAGCAGAAAGCUUUACAGAUGCUGCUGAAGGUCAAAUGAAGGUAGAGAAACCUCAACACAGCACGAGGCAUCACCCAACUGCAAACUAAUUGGGAAGGAAAUGGUUUCAAACUGACAGACUGUGGCCUGUAACUGAAACCUCACAGGGACAAAAGGUUCCUGCCAUUUAAAGGGGUAGCGGUGCCUAUUUCAACUGUGCAAACAAAAGAAAUGAAACCCCCUCGCGAGCUGGGAGGUUCUAUUAGCAGAUAUUACAUCCUUGCUUUUAUGCCCUCCUGUGUCACAAACCCUGAACAUGUGCCAUGUGUCCUGAGGCACUCAUUGGUUAAUUUACUUAUUCCGAGUACAGCAACAGCAACAGCAAAGGCAACAGCAAAGGCAACAGAGAAGCCCCCAAACGACAUGAACGUGGUGGCCCAGGCAGCAUUAAGAUGCGGCACACAGUUUGGAUAGGUGGGGUUUGAUCUGAAACUGUACACAUGUUAAACUCCAGAGAAAGUGAGAUGCUUAUAAUGGUCCUUCAGGGAAUUAAAAAA